GCUUCUGUGGCUUAGUGGUUAUAGUAUCUGUCUUACAAUAUUACAAUUUGAGUAAUAUCUGUUCACAGAUGAUCGGUGGUUCGAAUCCGCCCAGGAGCU
rfam:Wallemia sebi CBS 633.66 unplaced genomic scaffold WALSEscaffold_4, whole genome shotgun sequence.